rnacentral:rRNA from 1 species
UACUAUGUUACGACUUAUUUUAAUAAAAAUUAAAAGCGACGGGCAAUUUGUACACAUUAUUGAUUUUAUUCAAUUUAUAAAUAUUUAUAAAUUUAUUUUUAAAUCCAAUUUCAAAAUUAUUUUUACAAAAAUUUUUCCAAAAAUAAUUUUAUUGUAUUUCAUUAAAUUCUUAUUUAUUUAAUGAAUUAUGAUUUGAUAAAUUAUAAUUAAAAUAUUUUAAUUAUUUUUAUUAAAAUUAUUUAUUAACAACAAUAUACAAUUUAGUUAAAAUAAGUAUAUUAUAUUGUGUAUUAUCAAUUAAUAAACAAAAUCCUCUAAUUUUUAAUAAAACUGCCAAAUUAUUUAAUUUUUUAUUAAUAUAUAAUAAUUAUUUUUAAAAUUAAAAUAAUAAUAGGGUAUCUAAUCCUAGUUU